GGCGGGGUGGUCGAGUGGUUAGGCAGCGGCCUGCAAAGCCGUGAACGCCGGUUCAAAUCCGGUCCCCGCCU
rnacentral:tRNA from 2 species